GAUGAGCAUGCGUCCCAUCAGCUAGUUGGUGUGGUAACGGCACACCAAGGCAACGAUGGGUAGGGGUCCUGAGAGGGAGAUCCCCCACACUGGUACUGAGACACGGACCAGACUCCUACGGGAGGCAGCAGUGAGGAAUAUUGGUCAAUGGGCGCAAGCCUGAACCAGCCAUGCCGCGUGCAGGAUGAAGCAUCUAUGGUGUGUAAACUGCUUUUGUACGAGAAGAAACACUCCUUCGUGAAGGAGCUUGACGGUAUCGUAAGAAUAAGGACCGGCUAACUCCGUGCCAGCAGCCGCG
rnacentral:rRNA from 1 species